rnacentral:rRNA from 1 species
UAGGGAAUCUUCGGCAAUGGGGGGAACCCUGACCGAGCAACGCCGCGUGAGUGAAGAAGGUUUUCGGAUCGUAAAGCUCUGUUGUUAAGGAAGAACGAGUGUGAGAAUGGAAAGUUCAUGCUGUGACGGUACUUAACCAGAAAGGGACGGCUAACUACGUGCCAGCAGCCGCGGUAAUACGUAGGUCCCGAGCGUUGUCCGGAUUGAUUGGGCGUAAAGCGAGCGCAGGCGGUUAGAAAAGUCUGAAGUGAAAGGCAGUGGCUCAACCAUUGUAGGCUUUGGAAACUGUUUAACUUGAGUGCAGAAGGGGAGAGUGGAAUUCCAUGUGUAGCGGUGAAAUGCGUAGAUAUAUGGAGGAACACCGGUGGCGAAAGCGGCUCUCUGGUCUGUAACUGACGCUGAGGCUCGAAAGCGUGGGGAGCGAACAGG